GCGCAUGCGCAGACGGACCUGCGCUGGAGGCUUCAUCUUUGCCGCCGCUGCCGUCGCCUUCCUGGGAUUGGAGUCUCGAGCUUUCUUCGUUCGUUCGUCGGCGGGUUCGCGCCCUUCUCGCGCCUCGGGGCUGCGAGGCUGGGGAAGGGGUUGGAGGGGGCUGUUGAUCGCCGCGUUUAAGUUGCGCUCGGGGCGGCCAUGUCGGCCGGCGAGGUCGAGCGCCUAGUGUCGGAGCUGAGCGGCGGGACCGGAGGGGAUGAGGAGGAAGAGUGGCUCUAUGGCGGCCCAUGGGACGUGCAUGUGCACAGUGAUUUGGCAAAGGACCUAGAUGAAAAUGAAGUUGAAAGGCCAGAAGAAGAAAAUGCCAGUGCUAAUCCUCCAUCUGGAAUUGAAGAUGAAACUGCUGAAAAUGGUGUACCAAAACCGAAAGUGACUGAGACCGAAGAUGAUAGUGAUAGUGACAGCGAUGAUGAUGAAGAUGAUGUUCAUGUCACUAUAGGAGACAUUAAAACGGGAGCACCACAGUAUGGGAGUUAUGGUACAGCACCUGUAAAUCUUAACAUCAAGACAGGGGGAAGAGUUUAUGGAACUACAGGGACAAAAGUCAAAGGAGUAGACCUUGAUGCACCUGGAAGCAUUAAUGGAGUUCCACUCUUAGAGGUAGAUUUGGAUUCUUUUGAAGAUAAACCAUGGCGUAAACCUGGUGCUGAUCUUUCUGAUUAUUUUAAUUAUGGGUUUAAUGAAGAUACCUGGAAAGCUUACUGUGAAAAACAAAAGAGGAUACGAAUGGGACUUGAAGUUAUACCAGUAACCUCUACUACAAAUAAAAUUACGGCCGAAGACUGUACUAUGGAAGUUACACCAGGUGCAGAGAUCCAAGAUGGCAGAUUCAAUCUUUUUAAGAAUUUCACUCUUGUUGCCCAUGCUGGAGUGCAAUGGUGUGAUCUUGGCUCACUGCAACCUCUACCUCCUGGGUUCAAGUGAUUCUCCUGCCUCAGCCGCCCGAGUAGCUGGGAUUACAGGUACAGCAGGGAAGAACUGGAAACUCAGAGAAAGAAACUGCCCUUCCAUCUACAAAAGCUGAGUUUACUUCUCCUCCUUCUUUGUUCAAGACUGGGCUUCCACCGAGCAGAAACAGCACUUCUUCUCAGUCUCAGACAAGUACUGCCUCCAGAAAAGCCAAUUCAAGCGUUGGGAAGUGGCAGGAUCGAUAUGGGAGGGCCGAAUCACCUGAUCUAAGGAGAUUACCUGGGGCAAUUGAUGUUAUCGGUCAGACUAUAACUAUCAGCCGAGUAGAAGGCAGGCGACGGGCAAAUGAGAACAGCAACAUACAGGUCCUUUCUGAAAGAUCUGCUACUGAAGUAGACAACAAUUUUAGCAAACCACCUCCGUUUUUCCCUCCAGGAGCUCCUCCCACUCACCUUCCACCUCCUCCAUUUCUUCCACCUCCUCCGACUGUCAGCACUGCUCCACCUCUGAUUCCACCACCGGGUUUUCCUCCUCCACCAGGCGCUCCACCUCCAUCUCUUAUACCAACAAUAGAAAGUGGACAUUCCUCUGGUUAUGAUAGUCGUUCUGCACGUGCAUUUCCAUAUGGCAAUGUUGCCUUUCCCCAUCUUCCUGGUUCUGCUCCUUCGUGGCCUAGUCUUGUGGACACCAGCAAGCAGUGGGACUAUUAUGCCAGAAGAGAGAAAGACCGAGAUAGAGAGAGAGACAGAGACAGAGAGCGAGACCGUGAUCGGGACAGAGAAAGAGAACGCACCAGAGAGAGAGAGAGGGAGCGUGAUCACAGUCCUACACCAAGUGUUUUCAACAGCGAUGAAGAACGAUACAGAUACAGGGAAUAUGCAGAAAGAGGUUAUGAGCGUCACAGAGCAAGUCGAGAAAAAGAAGAACGACAUAGAGAAAGACGACACAGGGAGAAAGAGGAAACCAGACAUAAGUCUUCUCGAAGUAAUAGUAGACGUCGCCAUGAAAGUGAAGAAGGAGAUAGUCACAGGAGACACAAACACAAAAAAUCUAAAAGAAGCAAAGAAGGAAAAGAAGCGGGCAGUGAGCCUGCCCCUGAACAGGAGAGCACCGAAGCUACACCUGCAGAAUAGGCAUGGUUUUGGCCUUUUGUGUAUAUUAGUACCAGAAGUAGAUACUAUAAAUCUUGUUAUUUUUCUGGAUAAUGUUUAAGAAAUUUACCUUAAAUCUUGUUCUGUUUGUUAGUAUGAAAAGUUAACUUUUUUUCCAAAAUAAAAGAGUGAAUUUUUCAUGUUAAGUUAAAAAUCUUUGUCUUGUACUAUUUCAAAAAUAAAAAGACAGCAAUGACUUUAUAUCCAAGAAAGGAAUGUGAAUGAGUCACUUAACAGGGAAUCUAAAGAGCUGUGUUAGCUGUGUACAUACACAGAUUAUCUGAGAAAAGGUCAAGGGUUCCACUUGGGCCACAGUUUUUUUGUUAAUCAAACACCACUCUCUUAAGAGGCUGCAUCACAAAAGGCAACAAAGGGCCCCUCUAAGGCUUGAGAUUAAAACUAGUCUUUAUCAUUACUGCUGUGACACUCUUGCUUAGUAUAUUAAGAGACUCAUACAUUUUUGAUAUCACAACUUUUUGAUGGCUUUUCAAUAUUCUAAAUUUGGGUUCCUGGUGAAACCAAAUGGGGUACACUUUCAUAUCCAAAUUAAUAAAACCUAUAAGGCAUCUGGGUGGCCUCUAUGAAAUAAAUUAAUUAAUUACCCAUAGUGUAGUUUCUAGGAGGCAUGUGUACACACACUCUUCAUUGUGGCACAAAUUUAAAUCGCCUCAUGACCAUGUCUGUGAGCCAGGGUCAAGCUGGUUUGGCCUUCUUGAUGCAUUUUCCAAGGCCCACUGGUGGAGCAGCAUGAGUUUUUAUACAGUUACUAACGAUUGUGGAAAAAAAGAGCUUUAGCCAUUUCUUACUAAAAACAAAACAAGUUUAUAAUUAAUUCUCUGAGCGAGCAUUUUUAGGGAUAAGCCUAGGAGGUAUUCAUCGGUGAUGGUAACAAAUAACAUGGUAUUUGAAAGAAUAAAUUACUAGGAUCUUUUAAAUAGUGAUAAUACAAAAGUAAUCUUAAUUAGUAUCACAUACUAAAAGACAACUAUAACUUCUGAAAAAUAUUUAUUCUUGUUUGAUGAAAGCAACGUUUCUCAGCAAUGCAUUUUAAAAAAUAUUUUAGCUGUAAAUUAAAAAUGGCCAUAAUGUACCCUUGGCAGACUUCAGCAUAUACCAAAUUUUAAAUUUAAAUCAGCUUGAAUUCAGUGGGGUAUACAAAUCAUUUUAGUUGUUUUAGGGCUUUUUAUUGAAUAGAAAAAAUAUAAACAAUGUUGUAGAGUAAUGAGAAAUCCUCCACACUGAAAAAAAACUAGUAGUUUUAAUUUUUUUGGAAUCAUAUUUUCUGAGGUGUAACUGGCUUUCAUUAGAUGAUCAUACUUUUCCUGACAUUUUUACAAUGUAUUCUUUCUUUAAAUAUAAAAACUGACAAGAUAAAUAUAGUGUUUCAACUUCUUA